rnacentral:lncRNA from 1 species
GGCAAAGCUUAUAGAUGUGUUUACAGAUGAGUACAGCCAAAAUUCUGCCACUUGAUUUGGGCCUGCUUUUGUUUGGUGAAAUUGCAAAUAGAAUCUGAAAAUGUUUGUUGUGGAAGAUAUUUGUAGGAAUUGUUGUAUUUGAUACUUUUCCUUUUUAAGUAGAAACAAUAUAAAGAGCUUAAUUGAGAACAGAACAAAUCUCAGUGUUGUUUCUGUGUUUGUAUAAAACUACACUGCUCUGCUCUACAUUUGCUGUUAAACUGUUUAUAAUAGUUAAAAUGUCAUUCCAGAGGAGAGUUUGGCUUAGGACUUCUUUUCUUAGGCAGAGAAAGCCAUUUUAUUCCAUGUAUGGACCUGAUCUCUCAAAGCUAUUUUAGUGAGUAGCUAGAAAAUGUUUUUUAGUGAGGCAUGAUUUUACUUGUGUUUACGUGCAUUGGCCAGUUUAAUGAGGGAGCCACACUGUUCUGCAAUUCUGCUCUGUAUUGUUUCAGUGAAAAGCUAGGCUUUUUUAGGUGCACCCUGGAUUAUGUGUUUUUUAAAUGCUUUAAAAUAAAACCACAUCUUGAAAUAACUGUAUUCUCAGUUUAGCUACUGAAGGAUGAAACCCUUCUGUGCCUAGAAGAGACUCCGUUAAAAAAUUACAUCCCCAGUUGAUGUUAAUCAACAUUGUCUUUAACAGAACCAAGCCAUUUUUAAACCAUUGCAGGCACUGAUUCCAACUUUCACCUCAGCCUCCAGAAAAGCAUUAAUUUCUCUUGUUUAGAGCACAGUGACAGAGGAGAGUGAAGAAUAUCCACUGGUUCUACAGUGCAAUCAGAAACCUUUCUGUAAGCUUUCAUCCUUUGGACUAUGGCAGAUCUGCAAAAAUUGGAUUGUAAGGAUAUGGGAUAGAACUGUACAACUCUGGGAAUGGCAGCUGGGUAUUUGCUCCCAGGACAGCUUCCCAAAGGGAAGGAUCCCCAGAGGGUGGGGAUUUGUCUCUGGAAUUAAAGGGCAAAUUGCACCUCUGACAAGACAUGCAUCCUUUGUGUUGAGACUACUGACUGCUGACAUCUGUUGUUAUAAUCUUUAUACUUUAAGUGAUCUGGAGUCAGAUUUUCAAGGUAUUUAUUUGCUUAAGAGCCAUUAGACUCUA